GGCCCUGCGCCAGAUGGAAGGGCCCGCGACGACCGUGCUCUGUCCCACACCAGCUGAGUCGGCGUCUUAUCUCCAGCAGCGGGAUGCAAGCAACCGUGUUUCUAAUCCACGGACAAGGAAGCGCUAACACACUUGAACUACGGUGCCGAGUGGAAAGCUCAGACAUAAAAGGCCACGUGGCACAUUGGUCCACGGUCAUUUUCACCAAAGUCUACGUGGCCGUCUGUUGCACAUCCUGGUUCGGAACCAUCACCCACACCAUCCAGAUGGUGGGACAGACAGUGAGGAGCUGCAGGGAGCACAGACCUAACAGCUCCCAAAUCAUAGCAACGUCGCUGGUCAGGAAGCAGAGGCCCAGAGAAGUGGAAUAAUUUGUGCAAGACCACGGACCAGCAGGGGCAGAGCCGGGUCUAAAUGCAGGCUCCGAGGACAGCCGUGGCACACUACUUGCUCAACGGCAGGCACCUGCUUGGAGCCUCGCAGCCUCCUCCUCACCGGGCCCACACCUGCAGCUGCCCCCUCUCCUCUCACCCCUUCCCAGCAAAAACCAGGGCUGGAGCAGAGAGCAGAGACUGUAAGGCCAGGGCCUGCUCCCUGCUCAGCCCCAGCCUGUCUCUCGAGGGCCUGACAGCUCUCUCCUGGCCUCCCUUGCCCCCUUCAUUCCCCACCCUACACCCCACACCCUGCACCCUGCACCUCUCCCAGGCUCCCAGGAACUUUCUGGAAAGCUUGAGGAAGAAUGUACCUUUGGAAAACACUUCAUUCAGAAUCGUCCUGAGUUCAUUGGCACCGAUCUCAGAAUCCUGGAAAAAGGAACCCAAAUGGGAGUUACGCCAGGUCCCAACAAGUUUUCAGGGUGUGAGGUUGAUGUGGACCAGACAGCAGGUCCAAGGGUCCUGGGACUACCUCAGAACCUCUAGUUCUCCUCUUCCCCAGGGUCCCCCACAGCCGGGCAGGAGUGUGACGAGGUGUGGGACCAGGAGCUGGGGUGGGGCUGAUGGUGGUUUUGUGAGCAUAUA